AUGACCCGAGUGAAGAGUAGGUACUACGUACUGCCUGGAGAAGAAUAACCAAAUCGAACUGUGCACAGUACUCAUAGCAUUGGGAAGGUAAUGUUUCUAACAGCUGUGGCCAAACCUCGCUACAAUGAAGAUGGGGAGAUGACAUUUGAUGGAAAGCUUGGCAUUUGGCCGUUCGUCGUAGAGACCGAGGCACAAUGGACAAGCCAGAACAGAGAUAGGGGGACAAUAGAGUUGAGGCCGGUCAAAGUUACUAGACCUGUGUGCAGAGAUUACCUGAUCAAUAAAGUAAUCCCUGCCAUUCAAGGCAAAUGGCCUGACGGCGACGAGGACACAACGGUCUGCAUUCAACAAGAUAAUGCAACACCGCAUGUCCUGCCUAAUGAUGCUGGUUUUAUAGAAGCCGUGGCGCAGACAGAUCUGGAUAUUCGACUAUUGCAACAACCACCAAACAGUCCUGAGCUCAAUGUGUUAGAUCUUUGUUUCCACUGCUGCCUCCAAUCCCUAACCGACUGCAGAGCACCUAUGAAUAUCCAGGAAUUGGUACAGGGUGUAGAGGAGGAGUUUGAGAACUACGAUGCCCAUAAGCUGUUCAAAAGCUUUAUGACGUUGCAAGCAGUAAUGGUCGAAGUGAUGAAAGAUCAAGGAGGAAACAACUACAAGAUGCCGCAUUUGCAUGAGGUACGUCUACAGAAUACUAGCGAGGAAAUAAUAGGUGUAUAUUGCAGUCCUGAGCUAAUUACCGACAUCAAGGCCAUUAUAGAACAAGGAAAUGAGUAG
rnacentral:rRNA from 1 species